CUAAAACAAUGUCAAUGGUUUUCAUCCACAGCAGUUGAUCUAGUUAGUAAGUGUCGAUACUUUGGGUCUGAAUGG
ensembl:snoRNA